UUGAGCUUCCUGCCAAGGGGGUUGAUUGCUACGUUUCUAUGGAUGUAGAGUUUUUUGAUCUUAAUCUGAAAACUGUUUUCCUGUCUUGACCUUUACCUUUGCUAUAGAUCUGCCUAGUAAAUGCUGGUCCUGAUCGUAAUGUUGAUCUGUAGAUUGAUUUCGUAGCUUGGCCUCAGACCUGCUCAUCACUAGGAGUCUGCCUGAUGAGCUAGGCUAUUAGUUGGAGCUGGUCACCUCUAGACCCUCAUUUCUUAGAUGCUAUGGGACUGGACCUUGGCUGGUGAGCCUCCUUCCUUUCUUGCUCUGGGAUUUCCUUGGUGCUACUGUCUCGCCUGUUCUUGCUUGUACUUUGAUGUGCACAGAGAUCCCUGCAAGGCCUUCAAGCAGCACAGAGGAUAUCUUAUCAAGGACAAGCCUGUGAUGCCCUGCCAGAAGGGGUAUGCAGCCAGGGAGCAGUGAGAGAAUGAACAAAAAAAUAUCUCCUGUAACGAGAAUGGUGAGGAUCUCCUAUGGCUCUUCAUGUAUAUGUUAGCUUUCCAUAAAGUCUGUGGCUGCUGAACUCAUGGUAAAAAUCCUACACCUGUUUGAAGUACUGAAAUGAAGAGCUGGAUCAGCUGGGUAUAAUUGCCUAAUGUUCUAGGAGCAAAUAAUGGCUCUUUUUCCAACUGUUAUGAAGUGCUGCUACAGAAGCACCACCAAUGAACAAGAUGUGAAGCUGGUGUGGGCUGCUUUCUGCCAAAUAAGUGACUUUGUUUGGAAGCAGCACUGGAAUUGUAAUUUGAAUCCAGCUCAAGAUUGAGGAGAGCCCUGCGAAGGCAAAGAUAACUCCCCAUAUGAUGAUGAGUUAACCAGUGUGCAGGAGAGCAACUCCUAGCCUAUUUCAGGCACAAGAUGUAUGUUGAAACAGGAUGAAACAGGAGGUGGAGAAAAUGCACUCAAUUCAAAUUCCAUUAACAGAAGCUUCAGUCAACCACAAACAGUUACUUCUAAUACAACUUAAGGAAGAGAACAGGGUAGAUGAAGAGAACCUGCCCUUAGAAGGGGAAGAUGGUAACCAGCUGCUUUCCUUCACCAGAAGGUUACCAUAACUGAAAUAGGUGUAGCAACCCAUGAAAGCCUUCACUCUGAGAAAUGCACUGUACCAUUUUAUCAUCUGGUACAAUAAGAUGCCAUCAUACAGUGAGAUCAUCCUUCUGAUCCUGUCCAGGCUCAAAGUCACCUGCCUGCCCAAUUUACAUUACUUAUUAAACUCACCUACUGCCAAGAAUUUUUGAAAAAGUCAUGUUUGUGAAGAGUUCUGGAUCAUGCAGAGAAGUGUAUGGAAAGCUGGAAUGGUAAAGUUGUAAAGUAUCUCGUGCACUGUUCACUUUUAUUGAUGCUGUGGGAUAGAGCAAGACUAAUUUUGGAAUGUGUUCGCUUUUCUGUUCUGGAAAUGUGGCUAUUUCAAAAUUACAUAUGUAUUUGUUUUUGAGAGAUUCAGGAAAGCAUCUAGGAAUUUCUUUUAGAAGUGACAUGGGAUUCUAUUUUAGAUGUGAUCUGUAAACUGCAUGAAGAAAACUGGUUUAUAUUUAAAGUGAUAUUGUCAUGCACUGGAGCAGAAUAUAGUUCUGUAUGUAUAAACUGCACUCCUCUGUCUGAUACUACCUCUCUGUUAUUUACCAGGAUAGCUCCCAGAAGAUGUGAGUCACUGUUGUACUGUUAUAAUAGGCUCUGUACAAAUAAGUCUCAUGGUACAGUUCAAGCUGCCAGCAUUCACUCUGGAAAGGGGAACGUUGUAAGUUCUUCUUCAUAAUAAUAACUAGUUAACCUAGAGAUGAAGUGUCUUGGGCCUAGCUCAGCCAUGCAGGUUAGAUGGAGAAGCAAGGUUUCUUCCUUGAAUCUGAACAGCCACAUAAAAUGUAAUUAAAUCUUGCUCUGUGGGUGGGAUACGUACAAAUAUGUAUCCAGAGAGAGACUUAAAGGAGAAGAAAGCAGUACCCUUUCCCCUUCUACAUGUCAGCCCCGAUUCACAGGGACAGAGAUGUUUGGGGCCAAGGAAGCUGCUUUAAUUGCUGCUGCCUUGGUUGGCUCUCCUGCUUCUAACAGUUUUUAAAGGGGGAAUGUGACUGUUUCCUGAGUGAUAGGACCUCUGAGGGGUGCUUCUGCAGUAGCACAGUUUAUGCAUCACCUUUUCCUCAGUGGAAUGUCUAAAGGCACCAUCUAGUUGUGAAACUGAAACAGUAGUAAUAGAGAUGAACAAAACAGAGAGAAUGUGUUGCUGCUAUAGCCAUGGCCUAAAAUGCUAAUAGUCUGUAAUGUACCAUAAUGAAUAUUAAUAAUCACUAAUAAAUGCACUUUUAUAGUGAUGGAAAAGAGUGUGUUUUUAAAGAACUGCAAUAUCAGCUGUCUGCUUGAAUCAGUGAUUUGACACUGAAAAUACUUACCAGAAAAAAAGCACCUCUUGUCUGUAGCACGAUAGAUGUCCUGAGGGGCAUGCAGAAGUCAGAAGACAUUACGUUUCUGCAGUGUCUACGCAGACGCUAAGAUCGUUUGAAACAGGAGUAGAGGAAAGACUGCAUGCAUUUUCUUUUUGCUGUGAAGUUGCUUUGUGUAACAUACUAAUUAUUCAUUUCCAUUUGCCACUUUGCAAAUUUGUUAAAAAAUAUUUACAAAUAAUGGUACUAAAAUGUCUCUGGAACAAUGUGAAUAUGUAAGCCAGCUGUUCUGUCUGGAUUCACAACAAAUAUUUGCUUGAUCUGGAGCAGACUUUUGAUAUUUAUAUACUUUUAAUAAAUAUCUAUUUAUUAAUAGAAAA